rnacentral:rRNA from 1 species
UACGUAGGUGGCAAGCGUUGUCCGGAAUUACUGGGCGUAAAGGGCGUGUAGGCGGCGAUGUAAGUCAGACGUGAAAACUCCGGGCUUAACUUGGAGAUUGCGUUUGAAACUGGAUGGCUAGAGGAUCGGAGAGGGCAGUGGAAUUCCCAGUGUAGCGGUGAAAUGCGUAGAUAUUGGGAGGAACACCAGUGGCGAAGGCGGCUGCCUGGACGACACCUGACGCUGAGGCGCGAAAGCUAGGGGAGCAAACGGG